UACGUAGGGGGCAAGCGUUAUCCGGAUUUACUGGGUGUAAAGGGAGCGUAGACGGUUACGCAAGUCUGGAGUGAAAGGCGGGGGCCCAACCCCCGGACUGCUUUGGAAACUGUAUAACUGGAGUGCAGGAGAGGUAAGUGGAAUUCCUAGUGUAGCGGUGAAAUGCGUAGAUAUAAGGAAGAACACCAGUGGCGAAGGCGGAUGACUGGACGGCAACUGACGGUGAGGCGCGAAAGCGUGGGGAGCAAACAGG
rnacentral:rRNA from 1 species